UACGGGGGGGGCAAGCGUUGUUCGGAAUUACUGGGCGUAAAGGGCUCGUAGGCGGCCAACUAAGUCGGAUGUGAAAUCCCCAGGCUCAACUUGGGAACUGCAUCCGAUACUGGAUGGCUUGAAUUCGGGAGAGGGAUGCAGAAUUCCAGGUGUAGCGGUGAAAUGCGUAGAUAUCUGGAGGAAUACCGGUGGCGAAGGCGGCAUCCUGUACCGACAUUGACGCUGAGGAGCGAAAGCUAGGGGAGCAAACGGG
rnacentral:rRNA from 1 species